UGCCAGUGAUAGCAUGUUAUCUGGCUUGCCCAGCAUGUGCCAAGCAUGGGCCUCUCCCCAGAUAAUCCUAUUAUCUUGGGAAGGUCAAGACUAAGACUUUUCUGGCUUGCCCAGGUCACACAGCGUGGGGGACACGGCAGGACAUCUGCAGGAGCCGAAACUCUUCCAGGGCUAUCUGGUAGAAUUUGUGGUCAAUAGUUGCUGGUGCAGGUGGGGAAAUGCAGAAGAGAGAAACGCGGCUUUCCCUGUUCUGCAACAUCUCCCUGUCGCUGGUCUUUGAUCCCACAAAAAAGCCAGAGUCUGCCACAAUUUUUCUGUCUCUGCCUGACUUAUUUCGCUUAGCAUAAUACUGUCAAUGUUGUCCAAACAAGGCUCUGCAAGGCCAGAGUUUGCGUGCGCACAGCUGGAUGCAGACUGAGCCAGCCCAGAGCAGCUCAUGUUGGCAAAAGCAUAACAGACUGGCUCCAGGAGGACGCAUCCUGAAGUGGCUCACACACACGUCAGCGCCGGCGGAGCGUAACACGGAGGUCAAGCACAGCACUCAGGAACCAGAGGGAGUAGCUCAAAUCCCCCCCUACCCCUCCGUAACCCUGAAACCCGGGGCAAGAUUCUCAAGCUCUCUGUGCCUCAGUUUCUCCAUGUGGAAAAAGGAAGCACCGCUAACCCAUAGAGUGGCUGCGAAGGCGAUGUGACUAGGGUGUAGGUAAGCACUUGGAUGACAGUGCUGACACGUCACAAGUGCAUGAUAAGUGGCUGCUAUUAUUAAACGAACCGAAAUCAAAACAGACACAAGGAGCUCAGACAAGGCCGAGCAGAUGCAACCGUGCCUGAGCGGACGUCACUGGCGUCAAGCCAGUCAACACAGCUGAAACCCUCGUAGUCCCUCUCACACCUCUCGGGUCAACUGGUGCUAAAGCCAGAGUCAAUCCAGCACAAGGUCUGGAGUCACGUGGCCUGUGGUCAGAGGUCAGGAACCUCUCUGGGUGCACCUUGGGCAGGAACAAAGGCCCCAUACACGUCCCGGGGUGAGCGGUGAUGUGCAGGCGAGGGCGGUGCAAGAAUGCCCCUAAGAGAGACCAAGACAGAACCUGUGGGAAGCACACCUGCUAAAAAACACGCAAACUGCUUCGGUGGGUCAAGGUUCCAGUGUUAGACAUCAUGCUCGUCGUGAUUAGACAAGACACGGGGUCUGAGGACACUCAUAGUUCAGGGACGAGAGUACAGUGGGGACUUCGUGAAGGUGAUCCUGCCCAAGCCACCCCUACCCCCGGCCCAGGGAAGGGGCGCAACUCCUCAAGGCCAAUAGCUGAGUGAGCAGCAGGCUGAGGUGAGAGACCCCGCUGGGAGGUUUGGAGCUUCCAGUGAGAGACCAGAAGUGGGGGGCUAUUGUAAGGCAGCUCCCCCCAAAGGUGAUAAAUGCCCAAAUUCUUAAAGGUUCCUAGCCACCCUGUCCCUUACCUUUCCCCACUCCACGGGCGCUCUCUCCAGGGGACCCCAGUAUUACAUGCCAGCCACCCUAUGUCUCCUAAUGGUGGGGGCAGAUGCUAGGGAGGAGUAGAGGGGAGCUGGAUCUCCUGAACUCACAGUGGGGUGGGCAGAAACCCUUCUAUAGUAGGAGUCAGAAGUUGGGAAGAUGGGGGUGUCCCAGGGGAGUGCCACCACGUGGCUGCCUGGAUGCAGGUGUGCCUGGGUAGAGAGGAGUGCAGGUCAAGGGCCUGGGUGGUAGUCCGGGGCCUUCAGAACCAGUGCCGGCUCUGCCUCUGACGUGCCCUGUGACUUGAACAGGUCUCCACUGCCUCUGGGUCUACUAACCCGUAUCUGAAGUGAGGGUGAGUCCCCCAUGGUCACCGAGGGCUCUAAGCUCUAAGAAAGAUCUUGUUCAGUCCAAUGCUCUUGUUUUCAACUCAAGAAGUAGAGACAGAGGGGGAGUCGCUGGGUCACAGUCCACAGCCAUGGGAGAGGUAGGGAGCUUUCCUCGCCUUCCACCUACUAUGUGCUGGACAAACCCCCUCUGCAAGGACUUCCUACAUCCCAACAAGCACAAAUGUGUGCGCUUCUGCUGUGGGCACCUUCUAUGGGCUGGUCACUUGAUAAGGAUCAUCUCAUUUACCUCCAACAAUCCUCUGAGGCAUUGUCAUCCCCAUUUCACUGAUGAGAAAACUGAGUCCCAGAGACGUGACUCACUCAGACAUGACUAUUGGAAUCCCUGUCUCUAGGUCCCCCAGGGCAGAAGGCAGAAAGAGGAGGAAAUGCCAGAGAUCAAAAUUUCCAUAGAGACGUGCCCCAGAACCAACUUGCGUGGACAAGGGCUGGGGGCCAACUCAGACCCAGAGGAAGCUGGGAGGAUAGUGCCUCGCUGAUUCAUUUUAAAACUAUUAGAUGUAUUUCAGUUUUCAUUCUUUUAUCCUUGCAGAUGCAUACAUCUACGUGACACAUACAGUAAAGAUUCUCACGCUGACUGGUGUGUCUCAUUUACCCUACCUUAGCCCUUGUCCUCACCCUCGACAGGUCACUGCUUUUUAUUAGCAGCUCAUGGCAUCUUUCAGUUUCUUUAUGCCAGCACGCCCUUUUUACAUAAAAGGUAACAAAUAGAGCCUCAGCAAAUAGAGCCUCCUCCUUCCUUUAUGUCACUGCAUAAUAUCCUAUCUUAUACAUGGAAAGAAUUAACUCAAUUCCCUAUUGAUGGAUGUUUGAGUCAUUUCCAGGUUUUGUGGGGUCGUUUUUUGUUUGUUGUUUGUUAAUAUCACAGCAAUACUGUAGUAAAUAAUCACACAAUAUUGUUUCAUUUGUGUGCAUGUAUAUUUGCAGAAUA